rnacentral:rRNA from 7 species
GCGAACGGGUGAGUAACACGUGGGCAAUCUGCCCUUCACUCUGGGACAAGCCCUGGAAACGGGGUCUAAUACCGGAUAACACCUGCCCGGGCAUCCGGGUGGGUUAAAAGCUCCGGCGGUGAAGGAUGAGCCCGCGGCCUAUCAGCUUGUUGGUGAGGUAGUGGCUCACCAAGGCGACGACGGGUAGCCGGCCUGAGAGGGCGACCGGCCACACUGGGACUGAGACACGGCCCAGACUCCUACGGGAGGCAGCAGUGGGGAAUAUUGCACAAUGGGCGAAAGCCUGAUGCAGCGACGCCGCGUGAGGGAUGACGGCCUUCGGGUUGUAAACCUCUUUCAGCAGGGAAGAAGCGAAAGUGACGGUACCUGCAGAAGAAGCGCCGGCUAACUACGUGCCAGCAGCCGCGGUAAUACGUAGGGCGCAAGCGUUGUCCGGAAUUAUUGGGCGUAAAGAGCUCGUAGGCGGCUUGUCACGUCGGGUGUGAAAGCCCGGGGCUUAACCCCGGGUCUGCAUUCGAUACGGGCUAGCUAGAGUGUGGUAGGGGAGAUCGGAAUUCCUGGUGUAGCGGUGAAAUGCGCAGAUAUCAGGAGGAACACCGGUGGCGAAGGCGGAUCUCUGGGCCAUUACUGACGCUGAGGAGCGAAAGCGUGGGGAGCGAACAGGAUUAGAUACCCUGGUAGUCCA